rnacentral:rRNA from 1 species
UACGUACCGUCCAAACGUUAUUCGGAAUCACUGGGCUUAAAGAGUUCGUAGGCGGCCCAGAAAGUUGGGUGUGAAAUCCCUCGGCUUAACCGAGGAAUUGCGCUCAAAACUACUGGGCUAGAGGGAGAUAGAGGUGAGCGGAACUGAUGGUGGAAGCGGUGAAUGCGUUGAUAUCAUCAGGAACACCGGAGGCGAAGGCGGCUCACUGGGUCUCUCCUGACGCUGAGGUACGAAAGCGUGGGUAGCGAACGGG